rnacentral:lncRNA from 1 species
AUGAAGAGCCCAUUAAACACCUUCGGUAUUAAUACCUUCAGCUUCGGGAGAUGAGAGCUUUCAGCUUUGACUUCGAGUGAUGGAACACCUUCAGCUUCGGGAGUUGGGAUGACACUUUCACCUUCGACUUCGGAAGACGGAAUGACGUCUUGACUUCGGAGUUCGACAGACUAAUACUCCCUCCGUCCCAUGAUAAAAGUCUUUAUUACUAUUUUGGGUAGUCUCAUGUUAAAUGUCCAUUUUUCUUUAAUAACCAAAUUUUUACACAUAUUUUCCUAUUAUAUACUCGUAGCAUUAAAU